CAGGCUCGGCAGUGCGAGCUGAGACACCAAAGGACGAGGAAGGACUCUCACGUUGUUUGAAGGCACCUGCUCUUUUUUUUUUAUUGUAAAUGGCAAGGAGUUAUAAGGUUAUUAUUGUAAUUUAUUUGAGUCAGGUCCCGAUUUUUGUCUUCUUGCGAUUGAUUUGUUUGCGUUUGUGGCAGCUUUUUGCCAUUUUCAGUGUUGCGCCUGUCUGUGUGUGGCGAAUGACCAAAAUUUAGUAUAGCAGAACAGUAGUACUUUAGAGUAUAGGAUGAUUGCUGAAAUUUCACACCGAAGAUGUAGAGAAGCAUUUGACAGACCAAAAUGAUCAAACUACAGGCUCGGCCACAGAUGCCCCAAAUUAAUUUCAAUCCUUGCUGUUGGCGCUUGGAGUGCAUGGAACGGGUGAUAGAUAUACUGGGUGUCCCAGUUCCUUCUGACGAAACUCUGCG